AUGAACGCUGGCGGCGUGCCUAAUACAUGCCAGUCGAGCGAACGGACGAGAAGCUUGCUUCUCUGAUGUUAGCGGCGGACGGGUGAGUAACACGUGGAUAACCUACCUAUAAGACUGGGAUAACUUCGGGAAACCGGAGCCAAUACCGGAUAAUAUUUUGAACCGCAUGGUUCAAAAGUGAAAGACGGUCUUGCUGUCACUUAUAGAUGGAUCCGCGCUGCAUUAGCUAGUUGGUAAGGUAACGGCUUACCAAGGCAACGAUGCAUAGCCGACCUGAGAGGGUGAUCGGCCACACUGGAACUGAGACACGGUCCAGACUCCUACGGGAGGCAGCAGUAGGGAAUCUUCCGCAAUGGGCGAAAGCCUGACGGAGCAACGCCGCGUGAGUGAUGAAGGUCUUCGGAUCGUAAAACUCUGUUAUUAGGGAAGAACAUAUGUGUAAGUAACUGUGCACAUCUUGACGGUACCUAAUCAGAAAGCCACGGCUAACUACGUG
rnacentral:rRNA from 1 species